CCUACCCAUGAUCUCUUUCUCACCCUCUCACGACUCACUUUCCCUGCCCUACUCACGACUCACUUUCCAUUGUCGAGUAGUUGAGACUCUCAACCCUUGUACUGGUUUUUUUGGUUCCCUCAGUCUAGGAAGCGGUGGAUUAGGGUUUAAAGCUUAUUUCUAUGCGUUUUUAUCCUCCACAGAGCCACCUCCAUACUGUUUGAUCCAUCCCAUUUUCGGCACCUGUGACUGAGAGAGCCAAAGAGCUUUCUUCUCAGAUCGAGAGAUUCAAAGUGAAGUAAGCGAUGGGUCGUGUAAUCAGAGCAAAAAGGAAGGGAGCAAGGUUUGUCUUUAAGUCACAUACACACCACCACAAGCAGAGCACAGAUUUGAAUUGUUUUUGAGUUGGGAGGAUUUUUAGGGCCAAAAUAUCUCUUCAUUCUCGCUCAGAUAAAGAAGCUUUAAAUAUUAGGUAGAAGUGCAAAAGGAAACAAGAGUAUGUACUGAGCUGGACAAGCAAAAACCAAAGCCAAUAUAUGGAACACUCUUCAGUUUCUGGAGAAUUCCUUGGUUGAAAUUUUGAGUGCAUAUACAUGUUAAGGACUGGUUGCUAAUUUUCAUUUUACCAUCAAACCGGAUUGGAUGAAAGGGGUGUAAGUGGUUACAAUUUAGUAAGUUUGGUUGGAUUACUAGUUUUAUAAAAUUUUACAUCAAUUUUACGGUCAA